CAAAAGCGUAUAUUAAAGUUGUUGCAGUUAAAAAGCUCGUAGUUGAACCUUGGGCUUGGCUGGCCGGUCCAUCUCUUUUGAUGCGUACUGGACCCAGCCGAGCCUUUCCUUCUGGCUAGCCUUUUGGCGAACCAGGACUUUUACUUUGAAAAAAUUAGAGUGUUCAAAGCAGGCCUUUGCUCGAAUAUAUUAGCAUGGAAUAAUAGAAUAGGACGUUAUGGUUCUAUUUUGUUGGUUUCUAGGACCAUCGUAAUGAUUAAUAGGGACGGUCGGGGGUAUCAGUAUUCAGUUGUCAGAGGUGAAAUUCUUGGAUUUACUGAAGACUAACUACUGCGAAAGCAUUUACCAAGGACGUUUUCAUUAA
rnacentral:rRNA from 1 species